rnacentral:tRNA from 1 species
GUGGUUGUGGUUCAGGGGUAGAACACUUGCCUAGCACAUGCAAGGCACUGGGUUCAAUCCUCAGCACCACA